GCUCGAGUGGUGGAAUCGGUAGACACGCGGGACUUAAAAUCCCGUGGCCUCAACAGCCGUGCGGGUUCAAGUCCCGCCUCGAGUA
rnacentral:tRNA from 1 species